UACGUAGGGGGCUAGCGUUGUCCGGAUUUAUUGGGCGUAAAGAGCUCGUAGGUGGUUUGUCGCGUCUGCUGUGAAAACCCGAGGCUCAACCUCGGGCCUGCAGUGGGUACGGGCAGACUAGAGUGCGGUAGGGGAGAUUGGAAUUCCUGGUGUAGCGGUGGAAUGCGCAGAUAUCAGGAGGAACACCAAUGGCGAAGGCAGAUCUCUGGGCCGUAACUGACGCUGAGGAGCGAAAGCAUGGGGAGCGAACAGG
rnacentral:rRNA from 1 species